AUAGCUGGUUCUCCGCGAAAUCUAUUUAGGUAGAGCGUUGCACGAAUACCCCGGGGGGUAGAGCACUGGAUGGGUAAUGGGGACCCACAGUCUUACUGAUCCUAACCAAACUCCGAAUACCCGGGAGUAAUAUGCAGCAGACACACUGCGGGUGCUAAGGUCCGUAGUGAAAAGGGAAACAGCCCUGACCUACAGCUAAGGCCCCUAAUUCAUGGCUAAGUGGGAAAGCAGGUGGGACGACCAAAACAACCAGGAUGUUGGCUUAGAAGCAGCCAUC
rnacentral:rRNA from 1 species